rnacentral:rRNA from 1 species
CACUCCUACGGGAGGCAGCAGUGGGGAAUAUUGCACCAUGGGCGCAAGCCUGAUGCAGCCAUGCCGCGUGUAUGAAGAAGGCCUUCGGGUUGUAAAGUACUUUCAGCGGGGAGGAAGGCGAUAAGGUUAAUAACCUUGUUGAUUGACGUUACCCGCAGAAGAAGCACCGGCUAACUCCGUGCCAGCAGCCGCGGUAAUACGGAGGGUGCAAGCGUUAAUCGGAAUUACUGGGCGUAAAGCGCACGCAGGCGGUCUGUCAAGUCGGAUGUGAAAUCCCCGGGCUCAACCUGGGAACUGCAUUCGAAACUGGCAGGCUAGAGUCUUGUAGAGGGGGGUAGAAUUCCAGGUGUAGCGGUGAAAUGCGUAGAGAUCUGGAGGAAUACCGGUGGCGAAGGCGGCCCCCUGGACAAAGACUGACGCUCAGGUGCGAAAGCGUGGGGAGCAAACAGGAUUAGAAACCCGGGUAGUCCC